rnacentral:lncRNA from 1 species
GCAUGGCUGCAUGCUGCUGCCAAGCAGUCUGCCCGGCCAAUGACAAUGACCGGCCUACUAUACGCUUGACCAAACAAACAAUAUGCUACUGCUUUUAUUAUUAACCUUUGUUGUUCUUUAGUUGCCUCUCGUAUAUUUAGUCAGCAACAGUUUGCCAACUUGAUUUUCUAUGGAUACGCAAUGUGGAAAAGUGAAUGAGACUCUGGCCGACAAUCGGAAUCGACGGUUGUUUUAGAAAAGAGGUGGGAGGGAGGAGAAACGAAACAUUCAUAGAGUUGGGUUAUUAUUACAUAUUCAUAGAGCAUAACGUAACUGAGCGCGGACUCCCCGUAAUUCAGUCUUGUUACGUGCGUCGCUUUUACAACCACGAUCUACUAGUAUCGGGUUCGUGGAGGGUACCAAAGGGAAGUGUCCUUAAGGCCCCUUUAUUCAAACGCAAACAAUAGAAAAUCGUUUCGCGUAACAUAGUGGCUGGUUUCUGGUGAUCACAUUUAACAAGUUUUUCCUCAAAUAGUCAUGGUGCUUCGUACGAAAAAUCCUAUGGCGCACUUUGACUAGAAUGAAAAAUGGGAAUCGUACUGCCUCCUUAUGUUAAAUGGUAUGUUCGUUUAAUCGUUAUGUGGUGACAUUUACUUAAGCAAAAUGGACUUUCAAAGCCAUCAGUCGUUUAUCAACGGGCAAUUGUCCUGGAAAUUUAAUCACUUUAUUAAUGCAGAUAGCGGGGUAAGUGUUUUUCUCAUAAGCAAUACACAUGGUUUCACAUACGUAAUUUGUCAGGUUUCGAGAUCAAUGUUUCAAUUUUAAUCCGACGAUGCCAGCAAUUCUUGCAAGGGCUGCAUUUCUACCUGAAGUUUUGUCUGUGUCUGUGACGCUCAUUUAUCUCUCAAUCGAAAAAGCUCUUCUUAACUAGGCUUUAUAAAUGUAUAUUAAACGACACUGUAGUUUUUUUUUAUAAUUUUUUAUCUUAUUUUUUAUUCAACUGGCUAUUCAGAGAAAAUGCCAUAUUGUUGUUUGUCUACUAAAAGUGUUAGUGUCUACUAAAAGAAUUUUAACCAUUUACAAUGGCCCCAUGCUGAGAAACGCUUAAAGAUUUCAACUACUGAACGCAAGUAGUACUUUUAGAUAUAUUUAUCUGCGAAUCAACGAAUAACUAUCUAUAAUAGCACAUAAUUAUUGUUUUGUCGUCACAACUAAAUGUCUAGCCGAUAAAAUUG